rnacentral:rRNA from 1 species
GACGAACGCUGGCGGCGUGCCUAAUACAUGCAAGUUGAGCGAUGAAGAUUGGUGCUUGCACCAAUUUGAAGAGCAGCGAACGGGUGAGUAACGCGUGGGGAAUCUGCCUUUGAGCGGGGGACAACAUUGGAAACGAAUGCUAAUACCGCAUAGCAACUUUAAACAUAAGUUUUAAGUUUGAAAGAUGCAAUUGCAUCACUCAAAGAUGAUCCCGCGUUGUAUUAGCUAGUUGGUGAGGUAAAGGCUCACCAAGGCGAUGAUACAUAGCCGACCUGAGAGGGUGAUCGGCCACAUUGGGACUGAGACACGGCCCAAACUCCUACGGGAGGCAGCAGUAGGGAAUCUUCGGCAAUGGACGAAAGUCUGACCGAGCAACGCCGCGUGAGUGAAGAAGGUUUUCGGAUCGUAAAACUCUGUUGGUAGAGAAGAACGUUGGUGAGAGUGGAAAGCUCAUCAAGUGACGGUAACUACCCAGAAAGGGACGGCUAACUACGUG